GGGUACAUAGUGUAGUUGGUUAUCGCGCCCGCUUCGCAUUGCAGCUCUACCUCUAUGCUUAGGUAAGCAGUCACUGAAGACAGAGGUGCUGGGUUCAAUUCCCAGUGUAUCCA